rnacentral:pre_miRNA from 1 species
AGCCUUCUGUAUCCGUGCUGAGAUUUCGUCACACACCAGACCACAAGGGCUGAUGAGACAGUCGACACGCUCAACU